rnacentral:rRNA from 1 species
AUUGAACGCUGGCGGCAUGCUUUACACAUGCAAGUCGAACGGUAACAGGCCGCAAGGUGCUGACGAGCGGCGAACGGGUGAGUAAUGCAUCGGAACGUGCCCAGUCGUGGGGGAUAACGCAGCGAAAGCUGCGCUAAUACCGCAUACGAUCUAUGGAUGAAAGCGGGGGACCGUAAGGCCUCGCGCGAUUGGAGCGGCCGAUGUCAGAUUAGGUAGUUGGUGGGGUAAAGGCUCACCAAGCCAACGAUCUGUAGCUGGUCUGAGAGGACGACCAGCCACACUGGGACUGAGACACGGCCCAGACUCCUACGGGAGGCAGCAGUGGGGAAUUUUGGACAAUGGGCGCAAGCCUGAUCCAGCAAUGCCGCGUGCAGGAAGAAGGCCUUCGGGUUGUAAACUGCUUUUGUACGGAACGAAACGGUCUGGGUUAAUACCUCGGGCUAAUGACGGUACCGUAAGAAUAAGCACCGGCUAACUACGUGCCAGCCGCCGCCGUAACAC